rnacentral:rRNA from 1 species
AGAAAUUAUUUUUCUCUUCAAUGAAAGUGUUCAUCAGCACUAAUUAUAUACUGACAUUUAACGCUUUUGAACUAAAAGUAGUAACCUCUCAAGAAAAUUCUACUUCCCUUAUCGUUAACCUAACUCAAGUUCAUUACAAGAAAGAUUUAAAGAAAAAGAAGGAACUCGGCAAAUUUUAACCUCGCCUGUUUACCAAAAACAUCGCCUCUUGCACACAACUAUAUGAGGUCUAGCCUGCCCAGUGACUCAGUUAAACGGCCGCGGUAUCCUAACCGUGCGAAGGUAGCGUAAUCACUUGUUCUAUAAAUCAGGACUCGUAUGAACGGCAUCACGAAGGUUAUACUGUCUCCUUUUUCUAAUCAGUGAAAUUAAUCUCCCUGUGAAAAAGCAGGGAUAAACUUAUAAGACGAGAAGACCCUAUGGAGCUUUAAACACAUAAUAUCUGUUAUACUUCAACGCCUUUUCAUAACAAUAUAUUAUAGUUUUAGGUUGGGGAGACCGCGGCGUAAAACAAAACCCCCGCGUUGAAACAAUUAGAACCACAUUUCCUAUAUCAUUAUCUUGACAGAAUUGACCCAAAUUAUUGAGCAACGAACCAAGUUACCCUAGGGAUAACAGCGCAAUCCACUUUAAGAGCCCAUAUCGACAAGUGGGCUUACGACCUCGAUGUUGGAUCAGGGUACCCCAGUGGUGCAGCCGCUACUAAAGGUUCG